GUGGCUGUGUUUAUUUUCAGAACCCGUUCUUCUUCUUCUGAAGAUGCUCCCUCCUGUUUCAUGGAGCUGUCAGCUGAAACCUGUGCGCAGGCUGUGAUUAAGGUGUCACGAGAUGAUGGCUUAGUGAGCCCCAGUACCAUUUAUCUCAUCUUCCUCCCUUUUGUGAGGGAGAAAACCAGUGAGUCAGCAACCGGAAAAGUCUGCUGUGCCUGCUAGGUGCCUGGCCCUGUGAGGGAUUCCUCUGGCGGCUACAUAGAAGUGCAAGGUAUGGCUUUGCCCUCCUGGGACUUGCAACUGAGAUGUGGAAAAAACAUGCCAGCCAAACUAUAACUCAUGGGGCAGAGCCUGUGAGAAAAAUGUAAACUACGCUUGACAGCCCGAGUUUUAAAAGCUACCUUGACAGAUUAAACUGAUAUGAGCAUUUGAACAUGGAAGAAAAGCAAUAAGAGCCUUUGGGGUUAAAAUGUCAAUAUGAAAUGUAUUCAAUAAAGAAGAUUCUUUUA